GUUCAAUUAAUUGUUUGGUAAAUAUGCCAAGUUUGAUUAUGGUAAAGAUACUUGGAUUAUAGUGUCAUCUGUCAUAAUAAGUAGCUUUAUCUGGUAUUUGGAUGUUGUGUCAUUCGUCAGUAUCAUGUGCUUCUUACAAUGUCUUAGUUAUCCCAGUAUAUUACAAAAAGUUUACAUGGGUGUUGAUAAAAUUUGCCAAUAACUAUCAUUAAAAGUUUGUAGUUGAAAUUUGAUGAUAUGAUUUAAGGUUAAUAUAUAUUUUAAAUUUAAAUUUGAAAUUAAAAUUUGACGGAACAAUUUUAUUUUGGGGUCCUAUGUUUUAUUCAGUGAAAUUUUCCAAACAAUAAUGCACAUUCCAAACAUUGAUUUUCAAAAUUUUAGAAUUAAAAGAAAUAAUUAAAUUGUUUUAAUGGUAGGGAGGAGGGUAAAUUAUUUAAUUGAUAAGGAUCAUUGGUCUGUUUUUAGUUAAGGUGACACUUGCAGUAUUUUGAUAUGUUAUCAAUUAGUAACGAGGUUUGGAGAUGCUUUUCAAUCCAAAUCUUAUAUAUUGGGACAUGGGAAUCAUUUAUAAUAGAACACUAUUCUAAAUGAUUAACACAUGUUUCUAUAUAGAUAAGAACUUCCCAGGACUGGUGUCAGUUUGAUCACAGGUCAGGGAUGAAAGUAUUGUUGAUUUAGUACACACAACAUGGAAGAACUGAUCAAAUGAUAAGGUUACAUGUGGACUAUGGAAAUAUUGUCAUGACAUCUCAAGAGAUGAUAACACUGAUAAGGGAUUGAUAUAUCACAAGAUAUUUAUUUAUUCAAUUCUGUGCCUGUUAUACCCCAUUGAUAGAUGUGGCUUUUGUAUGUACAGAUACAUUGAUAUUUCAUUUAUAAUUAUAUUGACACCUGACAUAAUUUGUAUAGCUGUUAAUAGUCUCACGGUAUACAAGGAUUUUGAUCGUUAAGUGUAUCGGCAACUAAAGCUUGACCCUGUGAAAAAAAGAAAAAAAAAA
rnacentral:lncRNA from 1 species